rnacentral:rRNA from 1 species
UACGGGGGGGGCAAGCGUUGUUCGGAAUUACUGGGCGUAAAGGGCUCGUAGGCGGCCAACUAAGUCAGACGUGAAAUCCCUCGGCUUAACCGGGGAACUGCGUCUGAUACUGGAUGGCUUGAGUUCGGGAGAGGGAUGCGGAAUUCCAGGUGUAGCGGUGAAAUGCGUAGAUAUCUGGAGGAACACCGGUGGCGAAGGCGGCAUCCUGGACCGAUACUGACACUGAGGAGCGAAAGCCAGGGAGCAAACGGG